CGAUACUGAGAUUAUUGAGGGUUUUUAGCAUAAGGGGCUGUUGAAUUUUGUCAAAGGUCUUCUCUGUGUCAAUUGAGAUAAUCAUGUGGUUUUUGUUUUUGGUUCUGUUUAUGUGGUGAAUUACGUUUAUAGACUUGUGUAUGUUGAACCAGCCUUUCAUCCCUGGGAUGAAUCCUACUUAUCAUGACGAAGAAGUUUUUUGAUGUGCUGUUGCAAUAGGCUUGCCAGGAUUGUGUUGAAGAUUUUUUUUAGAGUAAUUUAAGGAUUUUAUUCAAAGAUAAAUCAUUUACAUAUAAAGGGGCUGAUUCUUUUUUUAUUCACAUUUCUAUAGAUGCUACAAUAUGCAUAACCCAAAAGCAAUGAGGCAUGUUGAUGUUCCAGAGAGAGCUUUGGACUUGGAGUCAGAAGACCUGUGUGAAGUCCCAACUCUGCCACUUACCAGCCAUGCCAACAUGGGCAAGUCAUUUAACAGUUCUUUUUUAUUUAGAUUGGUCAGAAGCAUCAGACACUGCAAAAAGGUGAAGUAAAUAGGAGAUCAAGAUCCAGAAUUGGACAUUUGGCACUUGCUGUUUGUUAUCUCUAAGAGAAAUUCCAGAGGAUAGAGGUCACAGAAAUGAAAUGCUGAUUGAUCAGAGAUAAACUGGAAGCAAGUAAGUGGAAGCAAGGAUAGGCAAUAUAGAGACAAGAAAUGUGCUGAUGAGAGGUACAUAGGUAGAUUUUUAUUGUUACUAGACUGGAUAAGGUUUCAAUGUAUGUAUUAAAUAAGAAGAAGCUAGUGAAAAAAGAGAGGGGGGAGAAAUACAUACCGGGGAAACAGGUUAUCUUAAAACCAUUUAGUUUAACCAUUCCAAUAUGAUAAAAAAUUAAAUUAAAUUUUCACCGUUGAGUAUACUUUAGUUGAAAUUAUGUUUAUUUA
rnacentral:lncRNA from 1 species